UACAGAGGUGGCAAGCGUUGUUCGGAAUUACUGGGCGUAAAGGGCGCGUAGGCGGUUCGAUAAGUCCCGUGUGAAAUCCCUCGGCUCAACUGAGGAACUGCACGGGAAACUGACGGGCUUGAGUUCGGGAGAGGGAUGCGGAAUUCCAGGUGUAGCGGUGAAAUGACGUAGAUAUCUGGAGGAACACCGGUGGCGAAGGCGGCAUCCUGGACCGGGCAUUGACGCUGAGGCGCGAAAGCCAGGGGAGCAAAGCGGG
rnacentral:rRNA from 1 species